rnacentral:rRNA from 1 species
GAAGCAACGCGAAGAACCUUACCAGGUCUUGACAUCCCGCUGACCGCCUAGGAGACUGGGCUUUCCCUUCGGGGACAGCGGUGACAGGUGGUGCAUGGUUGUCGUCAGCUCGUGUCGUGAGAUGUUGGGUUAAGUCCCGCAACGAGCGCAACCCUUGAUCUUAGUUGCCAGCAUUCAGUUGGGCACUCUAAGGUGACUGCCGGUGACAAACCGGAGGAAGGUGGGAAUGACGUCAAAUCAUCAUGCCCCUUAUGACCUGGGCUACACACGUGCUACAAUGGACGGUACAAAGGGCUGCAAACCCGCGAGGGGGAGCCAAUCCCAGAAAACCGUUCUCAGUUCGGAUUGCAGGCUGCAACUCGCCUGCAUGAAGCCGGAAUCGCUAGUAAUCGUGGAUCAGCAUGCCACGGUGAAUACGUUCCCGGGCCUUGUACACACCGCCCGUCACACCACGAGAGUUUGUAACACCCGAAGUCGGUGAGGUAACCACUUGUGGAGCCAGCCGCCGAAGGUGGG